CCUACGGGUGGCAGCAGUGAGGAAUAUUGGUCAAUGGGCGGAAGCCUGAACCAGCCAAGUAGCGUGCAGGAUGACGGCCCUACGGGUUGUAAACUGCUUUUAUACGGGAAUAACGCGCCUUACGUGUAGGGCUUUGCAUGUACCGUAUGAAUAAGGACCGGCUAAUUCCGUGCCCGCCGCCGCGGUAAUACGGAAGGUCCGGGCGUUAUCCGGAUUUAUUGGGUUUAAAGGGAGCGUAGGCCGCAUGUCAAGCGUGCUGUGAAAUGUGCGGGCUCAACCCGGGCCUUGCAGCGCGAACUGGCGUGCUUGAGUGCGCGGGAAGCAGGCGGAAUUCGUCGUGUAGCGGUGAAAGGCUUAGAUAUGACGAAGAACCCCGAUUGCGAAGGCAGCUUGCUGCAGCGGAACUGACGCUGAUGCUCGAAAGCGCGGGUAUCGAACAGGAUUAGAUACCCGAGUAGUC
rnacentral:rRNA from 1 species